AUACGGAGGAUGCGAGCGUUAUCCGGAUUUAUUGGGUUUAAAGGGUGCGUAGGCUGUGCGUUAAGUCAGGGGUGAAAUGCCGUCGCUCAACGACGGAGCUGCCCUUGAUACUGGCGUGCUGGAGUACGGAUGCCGUUGGAGGAAUGAGUGGUGUAGCGGUGAAAUGCUUAGAUAUCACUCAGAACACCGAUUGCGAAGGCAUCUGACGAAUCGGUCACUGACGCUGAGGCACGAAAGCGUGGGGAUAGAACAGGAUUAGAUACCCUGGUAUUCCACGCCGUAAACGAUGAUGACUAACCGUCGGCGAUAGACAGCCGGUGGCCAAGCGAAAGCGAUAAGUCAUCCACCUGGGGAGUACGUCGGCAACGAUGAAACUUAAAGGAAUUGGCGGGG
rnacentral:rRNA from 1 species